rnacentral:rRNA from 1 species
UACGGGGGGGGCAAGCGUUGUUCGGAAUUACUGGGCGUAAAGGGCGCGUAGGCGGUUCGCUAAGUUGGAUGUGAAAACUCUGGGCUCAACCCAGAGCCUGCAUCCAAAACUGGCGGGCUAGAGUUCUGGAGGGGAUAGCGGAAUUCCUGGUGUAGCGGUGAAAUGCGUAGAUAUCAGGAGGAACACCGGUGGCGAAGGCGGCUAUCUGGACAGAGUCUGACGCUGAGGCGCGAAAGCUAGGGGAGCGAACAGG